rnacentral:rRNA from 1 species
CCUGCCCAAAUAUAGGAGGUCCUGUCUGCCCAGUGACUCUGUUCAACGGCCGCGGUAUCCUAACCGCGCGAAGGUAGCGUAAUCACUUGUUUUUUAAAUGAAGACCUGUAUGAAAGACCACACGAGAAUCGUACUGUCUCCCCCCUCUAAUCAGCGAAACUAAUCUCCUCGUGAAAAAGCGAGAAUUCCUAUACAAGACGAGAAGACCCUGUGGAACUUUAAACAAACACAUCAAGUUUAUCACCCCCUACUAUGAUUGUUAGUUUUUGGCUGGGGCGACCUCAGAGCAUAAAAAAACCUCCAAGAUGACACGGAACUUUCCUAAACACAAGACUACAACCUUAUGUAUCAAUAAAUUGACAUUAUUGACCCUCAUUGAUCAACGAAC